rnacentral:rRNA from 1 species
UACGAAGGGUGCAAGCGUUACUCGGAAUUACUGGGCGUAAAGCGUGCGUAGGUGGUUCGUUAAGUCUGAUGUGAAAGCCCUGGGCUCAACCUGGGAAUGGCAUUGGAAACUGGCGACCUAGAGUGCGGUAGAGGGUAGUGGAAUUCCCGGUGUAGCAGUGAAAUGCGUAGAGAUCGGGAGGAACAUCCGUGGCGAAGGCGAACUACCUGGCCCA